UGGCCCAAAAAAGAUGGAUGUUUAUUUUUCUCUCAUGAAACAGUCCAGGGUUUGGUGAGCAGUCCAGGAACCCUGGCAGGUGUGCUCUUGAGAUCAUCCAGGAGCCCAUGUUCCUGUUGCUGCCUUUGUUGCUCCAUUAACUUCUGGUUGUUACCUUGUCUACUCUGAUCAAAGCUGGUUCACCAGCACCAUGUUCACAUUAUAGCCCAUGGGAAGGGUGAAGAAGAG
rnacentral:lncRNA from 1 species